rnacentral:tRNA from 1 species
ACUUAAAUAGUUUAAUAAAAAAUUUUAAUUUGUGGAAUUAAAGAUAUAAAUAAUUUAUUUUAGGUA